ensembl:lncRNA
UCUGUUUUGACAUGAAUCUUAUUCUCCAGGCGGCGGUUUCUAUGGCUCAAAAAAGUCUGCAGUGUCUGGGGCGAUAAGAACCUUGAAAUCUGCAGCAAAGUAAGACGGCACACUGUUAAAUGUUCAAAACCCUUAUGUUCUCCAGUAAUUUAUCAUUUCAUUACAGAAUUACUCCAGCUAAAAGCAAAACUAGUGCGUCAGAAAAGACUUCAGGAGAGGCCUCUACCUCCAAAGCAACUACCAGCCAAGCAGCAGCUGCUGAAACUGCUCCGGAAAAAUUAGCGAUUCCAGAGCCGAAGGUAGAAGAGCCAGUGACACCAGUGCCGACAAAAGAGGAGCCAGUUCCUAGUCCGAGUCAAUGGGUAGAGACAGUGGGAGAGACUCUGGAAAAAAUACUCUGCGCGAAGUCCAUCAGGGAUAAGGUUGAGUUCUAUACUAACAUCAGCCGCAAAGAGGACAGGAAGUGGCUGGUGCUUCUCACCGGCCUCCCGGACCACCUGAAACAGCCCUACACCGAGGAGCUGCUGGUAGAGAGGCUCAAACAGUUUGGGUAUCAGCACGAAUCAAACAAUCUCUACGUGGUCCCCCAGUGCAGACUGGCUUUUGUUACCAUGCCCAACAAUGAAGCGACUCGAGAAUUGGUGAUGAACUAUCAUAAAAAAAUGAACUCAAACACCCAUUUCACAGGUCAGGCCUUUCUCCUCGAGCGGGGAAUCUCCGUCCACGAGACACCGUUUUGUUUUUACAUCUCUCUGAUGCGGCUUUGCAACUACGAAUGUGAAGAUGACGGAGAGAGAACAGUCUUCAUCACAAACAUUUCUUCCUUUGAUGUGAUUGAACUCCGAAAGAGACUGAAGAAGAUCGGAUCAGUCCAAAACUUUGUGCCGCUGCUCAACAAGGUUUUUGUGGAGUUCAAGACGAGCAGAGACGCAGACAGACUGGGAGUUCACCACAGUCUUUUAAAUAUAACUCCUUUGUAUGAGAUAACCAGGAUGAAAGUCCCUCCGGCUAAAGGCUCCACCUGGCCUCCUUUACUGGCAGCUAAUGCUGUGCCUGAUGCUUCAGAGAGGGUUCCCGGAGUUGUCGUUCCAGAAUCUAACUCUGGGAUCCCCAUCGGCAGCGGGAGUCCGUUCUGUGUCACGCUGAACUCCAAACCGUUCAUGUUCCCCACACAGUCCCCCUGGUUCAUCAUCCCAGAUUUUGAUUUGGUUACAAUAUGUAAACAGAGUUUUGACGAGCCUCAGGACAGGACGUUGAUGCUGACUGGUUUGCCUGUGGACGGCUACACGCUGCUGCAGGUCUUCGACUUGACUUUGCCCUACGGCCACAAUCACUGCAUGCAAUACCAGAUCAUCGUGCUUCCUCUGCAGAGACGGGCGUUUAUCAACUUUCUUACUGCAGAGGCGUGUGAAGGUUUUGUCCAGAAAUGUCUCAGAAUUGGCCCCGUACUGAAAGGGGUUGCUCUGAGAGUUCACUACGUCAGCUGCAAACUGUUUCCUGUGUCGACCGAGGAGGAAGUGUACAGCACUUUUAUGAAGCUGAGCAACAAUCGUGGCCCAGAGAAGCACCAACUGGAGAAGCGGUUACUGUGCGUGUUCGUGUCAGAAGUUUCUCUCGAGUUGAUUAGACUCGUGAUGGAAGUCGUCACAUCUGCAGCUCCCGUCCUCGGCUUCCUGCCUCUGGCCAACAGGAUUUGUAUCGAAAUGCCUGACGUGAGCGACGUGGCCAAAGUGAAGGAGAAAUUCUCCAGUCACAUACCAGAGCUCUGGAAUAAAGUGCUCUCUUUGGAGACUUCAGAUGAAUUUAAAGAGCGACUUAAGAACCAGGGAACGCCGUCGUUCAACUCGACCAGCCGCCUCCACCUGUGCCCACAUCGCCUGAAGAGUCGGCCCGAGUGGAAGCUGAAAGCAGCAAAGAGGAACUAG